UACGUAGGGGGCAAGCGUUGUCCGGAAUCAUUGGGCGUAAAGAGCGUGUAGGCGGCCCGAUAAGUCCGCUGUGAAAGUCCAGGGCUCAACCCUGGAAUGCCGGUGGAUACUGUCGGGCUCGAAUCCGGAAGAGGUGAGUGGAAUUCCUGGUGUAGCGGUGAAAUGCGCAGAUAUCGGGAGGAACAUCUGUGGCGAAGGCGACACCCUGGACCAGCACUGACACUGAGGCGCGAAAGCGUGGGGAGCAAACAGG
rnacentral:rRNA from 1 species